rnacentral:rRNA from 1 species
UAUGCACGCUGGCGGCGUGCCUAAUACAUGCAAGUCGAGCGAACGGACGAGAAGCUUGCUUUUCUGAUGUUAGCGGCGGACGGGUGAGUAACACGUGGAUAACCUACCUAUAAGACUGGGAUAACUUCGGGAAACCGGAGCUAAUACCGGAUAAUAUUUUGAACCGCAUGGUUCAAAAGUGAAAGACGGUCUUGCUGUCACUUAUAGAUGGAUCCGCGCUGCAUUAGCUAGUUGGUAAGGUAACGGCUUACCAAGGCAACGAUGCAUAGCCGACCUGAGAGGGUGAUCGGCCACACUGGAACUGAGACACGGUCCAGACUCCUACGGGAGGCAGCAGUAGGGAAUCUUCCGCAAUGGGCGAAAGCCUGACGUAGCAACGCCGCGUGAGUGAUGAAGGUCUUCGGAUCGUAAAACUCUGUUAUUAGGGAAGAACAUAUGUGUAAGUAACUGUGCACAUCUUGACGGUACCUAAUCAGAAAGCCACGGCUAACUACGUG